rnacentral:misc_RNA from 1 species
GAUGAAGAACGUAGCGAAAUGCGAUAAGUAGUGUGAAUUGCAGAAUUCAGUGAAUCAUCGAAUCUUUGAACGCACAUUGCGCCCUUUGGUAUUCCUUAGGGCAUGCCUGUUCGAGCGUCAUUUAAACCUUCAAGCUAAGCUUGGUGUUGGGUGACUGUCCGCUUCACGGCGGACUCGCCUCAAAAUUAUUGGCGGCCGGUACAUUGGCUUCGAGCGCAGCAGAAACGCGAACUCGGGCCCGUCGUAUUGGCUCCCAGAAGCUAUCUUCACAAUUUUGACCUCGGAUCAGGUGGGGAUACCCGCUGAACUUAAGCAUAUCAAUAAGCGGAGGA